CACAAUCAAUGCUGCCUCCGUCCACUCAAUGAAGGCAAGGGGAGCUUUCUCCAAGAUUCAGGUCUUUAGUCUAAUCAGUGCCAAGACGUAACACGUAACACCUUGUGGUGGGUUUCCUCUGUGCACACUGGACGUGAACAUUUACUCCAGCACAGCGAUCUGUCAGACACAAGAUUUUAAGAACAACAACAACAGAGAGGUGGUGAGGAUGAACAUGGAAAUGGCCAGCACUCUUAGAAGCAAGCCAGCUAAAUGUCCAAUCUGAAAAACUUCUGAAGCUGUUCCAAAAUAGAGGGGGUUAGACAGGCAAUAAAGAGUUUGGUAUCGGGUGGUCAGAUGGUCGAAGGUACAGGGAAGGGUAAUCCGGAAAACAGGCAAGUUUUGGAAAGCAAGCCAAUAUUAUUCUAUAGUGGGUGUUUAUUUUGCUGAAAGCAAAGUGAUCUGUCUGUCUGUUACAUUAUGAACCCCCCCACACAAUUUAAGAUUUGGGGUUGAUUUUGGUUGUGUUGUACUUUCU
ensembl:lncRNA